rnacentral:rRNA from 1 species
UGGCGGACGGGUGAGUAAUGUCUGGGAAACUGCCCGAUGGAGGGGGAUAACUACUGGAAACGGUAGCUAAUACCGCAUAACGUCGCAAGACCAAAGAGGGGGACCUUAGGGCCUCUUGCCAUCGGAUGUGCCCAGAUGGGAUUAGCUAGUAGGUGGGGUAACGGCUCACCUAGGCGACGAUCCCUAGCUGGUCUGGGAGGAUGACCAGCCACACUGGAACUGAGACACGGUCCAG